rnacentral:rRNA from 1 species
UACGAAGGGGGCUAGCGUUGUUCGGAAUCACUGGGCGUAAAGGGCGCGUAGGCGGCUUUGUAAGUCGGGGGUGAAAGCCUGUGGCUCAACCACAGAAUUGCCUUCGAUACUGCAUGGCUUGAGACCGGAAGAGGUAAGUGGAACUGCGAGUGUAGAGGUGAAAUGCGUAGAUAGUUGGGAAGAACACCUGAGGCGAAGGCGGGUUGCUGGGCCGACACGUGACGCUGAGGGCGCGAAAGCC